rnacentral:rRNA from 1 species
GCAGUCGACGGCAGCGCGGGGCAACCUGGCGGCGAGUGGCGAACGGGUGAGUAAUAUAUCGGAACGUGCCCUGGAGUGGGGGAUAACGCAGCGAAAGUUGCGCUAAUACCGCAUACGAUCUAAGGAUGAAAGCAGGGGACCGCAAGGCCUUGUGCUCCUGGAGCGGCCGAUAUCUGAUUAGCUAGUUGGUGGGGUAAAGGCCUACCAAGGCAUCGAUCAGUAGCUGGUCUGAGAGGACGACCAGCCACACUGGAACUGAGACACGGUCCAGACUCCUACGGGAGGCAGCAGUGGGGAAUUUUGGACAAUGGGCGCAAGCCUGAUCCAGCAAUGCCGCGUGAGUGAAGAAGGCCUUCGGGUUGUAAAGCUCUUUUGUCAGGGAAGAAACGGUGAGUUCUAAUACAGUUCACUAAUGACGGUACCUGAAGAAUAAGCACCGGCUAACUACGUGCCAGCAGCCGCGGUAAUACGUAGGGUGCAAGCGUUAAUCGGAAUUACUGGGCGUAAAGCGUGCGCAGGCGGUUUUGUAAGUUUGUCGUGAAAUCCCCGGGCUCAACCUGGGAAUGGCGAUGAAGACUGCAAGGCUAGAAUCUGGCAGAGGGGGGUAGAAUUCCACGUGUAGCAGUGAAAUGCGUAGAGAUGUGGAGGAACACCGAUGGCGAAGGCAGCCCCCUGGGUCAAGAUUGACGCUCAUGCACGAAAGCGUGGG